GUAACGGGGCUAAACCAUGCACCGAAGCUGCGGCAGCGACACUAUGUGUUGUUGGGUAGGGGAGCGUUCUGUAAGCCUGCGAAGGUGUGCUGUGAGGCAUGCUGGAGGUAUCAGAAGUGCGAAUGCUGACAUAAGUAACGAUAAAGCGGGUGAAAAGCCCGCUCGCCGGAAGACCAAGGGUUCCUGUCCAACGUUAAUCGGGGCAGGGUGAGUCGACCCCUAAGGCGAGGCCGAAAGGCGUAGUCGAUGGGAAACAGGUUAAUAUUCCUGUACUUGGUGUUACUGCGAAGGGGGGACGGAGAAGGCUAUGUUAGCCGGGCGACGGUUGUCCCGGUUUAAGCAUGUAGGCUGGUUAUCCAGGCAAAUCCGGAUAAUCAAGGCUGAGGUGUGAUGACGAGGCACUACGGUGCUGAAGUAACAAAUGCCCUGCUUCCAGGAAAAGCCUCUAAGCAUCAGGUAACAUCAAAUCGUACCCCAAACCGACACAGGUGGUCAGGUAGAGAAUACCAAGGCGCUUGAGAGAACUCGGGUGAAGGAACUAGGCAAAAUGGUGCCGUAACUUCGGGAGAAGGCACGCUGGUGUGUAGGUGAAGUCCCUGCGGAUGGAGCUGAGACCAGUCGAAGAUACCAGCUGGCUGCAACUGUUUAUUAAAAACACAGCACUGUGCAAACACGAAAGUGGACGUAUACGGUGUGACGCCUGCCCGGUGCCGGAAGGUUAAUUGAUGGGGUUAUCCGUAAGGAGAAGCUCUUGAUCGAAGCCCCGGUAAACGGCGGCCGUAACUAUAACGGUCCUAAGGUAGCGAAAUUCCUUGUCGGGUAAGUUCCGACCUGCACGAAUGGCGUAAUGAUGGCCAGGCUGUCUCCACCCGAGACUCAGUGAAAUUGAACUCGCUGUGAAGAUGCAGUGUACCCGCGGCAAGACGGAAAGACCCCGUGAACCUUUACUAUAGCUUGACACUGAACAUUGAGCCUUGAUGUGUAGGAUAGGUGGGAGGCUUUGAAGCGUGGACGCCAGUCUGCGUGGAGCCAACCUUGAAAUACCACCCUUUAAUGUUUGAUGUUCUAACGUUGGCCCCUGACCGGGGUUGCGGACAGUGUCUGGUGGGUAGUUUGACUGGGGCGGUCUCCUCCCAAAGCGUAACGGAGGAGCACGAAGGUUAGCUAAUCCUGGUCGGACAUCAGGAGGUUAGUGCAAUGGCAUAAGCUAGCUUGACUGCGAGCGUGACGGCGCGAGCAGGUGCGAAAGCAGGUCAUAGUGAUCCGGUGGUUCUGAAUGGAAGGGCCAUCGCUCAACGGAUAAAAGGUACUCCGGGGAUAACAGGCUGAUACCGCCCAAGAGUUCAUAUCGACGGCGGUGUUUGGCACCUCGAUGUCGGCUCAUCACAUCCUGGGGCUGAAGUAGGUCCCAAGGGUAUGGCUGUUCGCCAUUUAAAGUGGUACGCGAGCUGGGUUUAGAACGUCGUGAGACAGUUCGGUCCCUAUCUGCCGUGGGCGCUGGAGAAUUGAGGGGGGCUGCUCCUAGUACGAGAGGACCGGAGUGGACGCAUCACUGGUGUUCGGGUUGUCAUGCCAAUGGCACUGCCCGGUAGCUAAAUGCGGAAGAGAUAAGUGCUGAAAGCAUCUAAGCACGAAACUUGCCCCGAGAUGAGUUCUCCCUGAGACUUUAAGUCUCCUGAAGGAACGUUAAAGACGAUGACGUUGAUAGGCCGGGUGUGUAAGCGCAGCGAUGCGUUGAGCUAACCGGUACUAAUGAACCGUGAGGCUUAACCUU
rnacentral:rRNA from 1 species